rnacentral:rRNA from 1 species
AGAGUUUGAUCAUGGCUCAGAUUGAACGCUGGCGGCAUGCCUAACACAUGCAAGUCGAACGGUAACAGAACUAGCUUGCUAGUUGCUGACGAGUGGCGGACGGGGGAGUAAUGUAUAGGAACUUGCCUAAUAGUGGGGGACAACUUAUGGAAACGUAAGCUAAUACCGCAUACGCUCUACGGAGGAAAGCAGGGGAUCUUCGGACCUUGCGCUAUUAGAUAAGCCUGCGUGGGAUUAGCUAGUUGGUGAGGUAAAGGCUCACCAAGGCGACGAUCUCUAGCUGGUCUGAGAGGAUGAUCAGCCACACUGGAACUGAGACACGGUCCAGACUCCUACGGGAGGCAGCAGUGGGGAAUAUUGCACAAUGGGCGCAAGCCUGAUGCAGCCAUGCCGCGUGUGUGAAGAAGGCAUUCGGGUUGUAAAGCACUUUCAGUUGGGACGAAGCGAAAGUGACGGUACCUCCAGAAGAAGCCCCGGCCAACUACGUGCCAGCAGCCGCGGUAAUACGUAGGGGGCGAGCGUUGUCCGGAUUUAUUGGGCGUAAAGAGCUCGUAGGCGGCUCAGCAAGUCGGCCGUGAAAACCUGAGGCUCAACCUCAGGACGCCGGUCGAAACUGCUGUGGCUAGGGUUCGGUAGAGGAGAGUGGAAUUCCCGGUGUAGCGGUGAAAUGCGCAGAUAUCGGGAGGAACACCAGUAGCGAAGGCGGCUCUCUGGGCCGAUACCGACGCUGAGGAGCGAAAGCUAGGGGAGCGAACAGGAUUAGAUACCCUGGUAGUCCUAGCUGUAAACGUUGGGCACUAGGUGUGGCGGACUCAUUGACGUCUGCCGUGCCGAAGCUAACGCAUUAAGUGCCCCGCCUGGGGAGUACGGUCGCAAGGCUAAAACUCAAAGGAAUUGACGGGAGCCCGCACAAGCGGCGGAGCAUGCGGCUUAAUUCGAUUGUACCCGAAGAACCUUACCUGGACUUGACAUAAUGGGAAAAACCCUAGAGAUAGGGUGUGCGUAAGCGUCCAUUACAGGUGGUGCAUGGCUGUCGUCAGCUCGUGUCGUGAGAUGUUGGGUUAAGUCCCGCAACGAGCGCAACCCCUGUCCUAUGUUGCCAGCGGAUAAUGCCGGGGACUCAUGGGAGACUGCCGGGGACAACUCGGAGGAAGGCGGGGACGACGUCAAGUCAUCAUGCCCCUUAUGUCCAGGGCUGCACGCAUGCUACAAUGGCAGGUACAACGGGCAGCGAUCCCGCGAGGGUGAGCGAAUCCUAAAAGCCUGUCUCAGUUCGGAUCGGAGUCUGCAACUCGACUCCGUGAAGCCGGAGUCGCUAGUAAUCGCGAAUCAGCAAUGUCGCGGUGAAUACGUUCUCGGGCUUUGUACACACCGCCCGUCACAUCACGAAAGUUGGCAACACCCGAAGUCAGUGGCCCAACCGCAAGGAGGGAGCUGCCGAAGGUGGGGUCAGCGAUUGGGAUGAAGUCGUAACAAGGUAACCAAGUCGUAACAAGGUAACC